UCUAAGAUCAUACCCAGUUAAUGGUGAAUCUGCGAACGGCUCAUUAAAACAGCUAUAAUCCACUCGAUCUUGAUAUCCGAAACGGAUAACUGCGAUAAUUUUGGAGCUAAUACGUGCACCAAAGCCCAGACGCAAGUAGGGGCGCACUUAUUAGAUUAAGACCAAUCGGGUUCGCCCGCUUUGGUGACUCUGAAUAAUUUUGCUGAUCGCACGGUCUUGAACCGGCGACGUAUCGUUCGAGUGUCUGCCUUAUCAACUUUCGAUGGAAGUCUAUGUGACUACCAUGGUUGUUACGGGUAACGGAGAAUAAGGGUUCGACUCCGGAGAGGGAGCCUGAGAAACGGCUACCACAUCCAAGGAAGGCAGCAGGCGCGUAAAUUACCCACUCUCAAUGCGAGGAGGUAGUAACUAUCAAUAACGAGACAGAUCUCUAUGAGGCCUGUUAUCGGAAUGGGUACAAUUUAAACCCUUUAACGAGGAUCUAUGAGAGGGCAAGUCUGGUGCCAGCAGCCGCGGUAAUUCCAGCUCUCAAGGUGUAUAUCGUCAUUGCUGCGGUUAAAAAGCUCGUAGUUGGAUCUGAGUUUGUGGACGUGGUGCACCAUGUGUGUAACUGCGCUCCCGGACUGUUUUGUUGGUUUUCAGCGGUUGCCUUCAUCGGUAGUCGUUGUGACUGGCAAGUUUACCUUGAAUAAAUCAGAGUGCUCAAGACAGGCGUUUAGCUUGAAUAUUCGUGCAUGGAAUAAUGGAACAGGACUUCGGUUCGUUCUAUUGGUCUCAGAACCGAUGUAAUGGUUAAGAGGGACAGACGGGGGCAUCCGUAUCGCUGCGUGAGAGGUGAAAUUCUUGGACCGCAGCGGGACGUCCAACUG
rnacentral:rRNA from 1 species